UAUGCUUUGGAGGAUUUGCACUUGCAUCUCAUCAUGUCACUAGGUCUAAUGCAUAUAUGCAAAGUCAUUUCACAACUAGGGGCACUUAGACAAUUGUUAUGCACUAAAGAUUCCCUAUUUAUUAGUAUGGUUAUCUAUCCUAAACCUAACCACAUACUCAAUCGCAUCUCAGUCAGAGAAAACAAAAUCUAGCAUAUACAUUUGCCUUUGGGUUUGUUCCCACCUCAUCCCCAUCUCCAAGUGUAUGAGUAUGCAUCAUUUUGAAUGAUCACCCUUCAUAAAUUGUUAUGCAUUAAAUUUUCAAAUAAAGACACAGUUUUGCAUGACAAGAUGAACUCAAAUGAAAAAGUUGUCAACUACAAAGUUUCAUAACUUUUCGAUAUCUACAAAGUUUAUUUAGGGAGGUUUUUCCA
rnacentral:lncRNA from 1 species